rnacentral:rRNA from 1 species
GACGGAGGGUGCAAGCGUUGUUCGGAAUUACUGGGCGUAAAGGGCGCGUAGGCGGUCUGUUAAGUUCGGUGUGAAAGCCCCCGGCUCACCUGGGGAACUGCGCCGGAAACCGACAGACUCGAGUACCGGAGAGGAGGGUGGAAUUCCUGGUGUAGCGGUGAAAUGCGUAGAUAUUGGGAGGAACACCAGUGGCGAAGGCGGCUCGCUGGACCGGUUCUGACGCUGAGGCGCGAAAGCGUGGGGAGCAAACGGG